rnacentral:rRNA from 1 species
CAGUCGCCGCGGUAACACGAAGGGUGCAAGCGUUACUCGGAAUUACUGGGCGUAAAGCGUGCGUAGGUGGUGGUUUAAGUCCGUUGUGAAAGCCCUGGGCUCAACCUGGGAAUUGCAGUGGAUACUGGGUCACUAGAGUGUGGUAGAGGAUAGUGGAAUUUCCGGUGUAGCAGUGAAAUGCGUAGAGAUCGGAAGGAACAUCUGUGGCGAAGGCGACUAUCUGGGCCAACACUGACACUGAGGCACGAAAGCGUGGGGAGCAAACAGGAUUAGAUACCCGAGUAGUCCCUGUCUCUUAUAC